AAAGACCCCGUGAACCUUUACUAUAGCUUGACACUGAACAUUGAGCCUUGAUGUGUAGGAUAGGUGGGAGGCUUUGAAGUGUGGACGCCAGUCUGCAUGGAGCCGACCUUGAAAUACCACCCUUUAAUGUUUGAUGUUCUAACGUUGGCCCCUAAUCGGGGUUGCGGACAGUGUCUGGUGGGUAGUUUGACUGGGGCGGUCUCCUCCUAAAGAGUAACGGAGGAGCACGAAGGUUGGCUAAUCCUGGUCGGACAUCAGGAGGUUAGUGCAAUGGCAUAAGCCAGCUUGACUGCGAGCGUGACGGCGCGAGCAGGUGCGAAAGCAGGUCAUAGUGAUCCGGUGGUUCUGAAUGGAAGGGCCAUCGCUCAACGGAUAAAAGGUACUCCGGGGAUAACAGGCUGAUACCGCCCAAGAGUUCAUAUCGACGGCGGUGUUUGGCACCUCGAUGUCGGCUCAUCACAUCCUGGGGCUGAAGUAGGUCCCAAGGGUAUGGCUGUUCGCCAUUUAAAGUGGUACGCGAGCUGGGUUUAGAACGUCGUGAGACAGUUCGGUCCCUAUCUGCCGUGGGCGCUGGAGAACUGAGGGGGGCUGCUCCUAGUACGAGAGGACCGGAGUGGACGCAUCACUGGUGUUCGGGUUGUCAUGCCAAUGGCACUGCCCGGUAGCUAAAUGCGGAAGAGAUAAGUGCUGAAAGCAUCUAAGCACGAAACUUGCC
rnacentral:rRNA from 1 species